rnacentral:sRNA from 1 species
UAGCUUGAUGAGCUUGCCUAUCAUAA